rnacentral:rRNA from 1 species
AGAGUUUGAUCCUGGCUCAGAAUCAACGCUGGCGGCGUGCCUAACACAUGCAAGUCGAACGAGAAAGUGGAGCAAUCCAUGAGUACAGUGGCGACCGGGUGAGUAACACGUGACCAACCUGCCCUUCGCAUCGUAGUACGAGUCGAUAUACAGCAAUGGCGGCUUGCCUAUCGCAUGCAAGUCGGACGUAUAUGAAUAGUCGGAGCAAUCCAGUGAGUGACUACGAUGCGUCAGUAUCAACGCGCCGUAGAGGUAUCACAAUCUCUGUGACCGAUCUGCUCAUCUCGAGUAUGCGCCGAAUACGACUCCGGGAGAUCCUCGCGACGCUAUAUACCGCAUGUGAGGGUGCGCAAGAUCAGUGUGUUAUCGCAAGGCAGCUUUAGGACUGGGGAGUUACAGCAGUGGCUGGCUGUGAGGCUGGUUUCUGGUUGGGUUAGGACGUGCCUGGACCAAGAUUCUCGAGGCUACGGUAGCCGGCCUGAGAGGGCGCACUGCCAGACUGUGAAAGCUGAAAGGCGGUCUAGAGUUCUCACGAGCGAGGCAGUACGCGGGGAAUUCUUGCGCAAAUGUAGCGGGUGAAACCCCUGCACGAUAGCUAUUCAGGCGGAACACCUAGGGUCGGCUAUCGAAGUGCGUCUACUCUGGACAGACACUGACUCUGAGGCACGAACGCUUAGGGGAGCAAACAGGAUUAGAUACCCUGGUAGUCCUAGCCCUAAACGAUGGAUACUUGGUGUGACCGGGAUUGAAUCCGGUCGUGCCGAAGCUAACGCAUUAAGUAUCCCGCCUGGGGAGUACGGCCGCAAGGCUGAAACUCAAAGGAAUUGACGGGGGCCCGCACAAGCGGUGGAGUAUGUGGUUUAAUUCGACGCAACGCGAAGAACCUUACCUGGGCUCGAACGGCUAGUGACAGGUGGCGAAAGUCGCUUUUCCCGCAAGGGACACUAGUCGAGGUGCUGCAUGGCUGUCGUCAGCUCGUGUCGUGAGAUGUUGGGUUAAGUCCCGCAACGAGCGCAACCC